UGGGGAAUAUUGCACAAUGGGCGCAAGCCUGAUGCAGCCAUGCCGCGUGUAUGAAGAAGGCCUUCGGGUUGUAAAGUACUUUCAGCGGGGAGGAAGGGAGUAAAGUUAAUACCUUUGCUCAUUGACGUUACCCGCAGAAGAAGCACCGGCUAACUCCGUGCCAGCAGCCGCGGUAAUACGGAGGGUGCAAGCGUUAAUCGGAAUUACUGGGCGUAAAGCGCACGCAGGCGGUUUGUUAAGUCAGAUGUGAAAUCCCCGGGCUCAACCUGGGAAAUGCAUCUGAUACUGGCAAGCUUGAGUCUCGUAGAGGGGGGUAUAAUUCCAGGUGUGGCGGUGAAAUGCGUAGAGAUCUGGAGGAAUACCGGUGUCGAAGGCGGGCCCCUGGACGAAGACUGACGCUCAGGUGCGAAAGCGUGGGGAGCAAACAGG
rnacentral:rRNA from 1 species